AUGUCAAACACUGCCCUCUCUAACUCUGCCUGGAGUACCAGCCUGCUGUCUUGGGUUGCCGUCUUUCUCCUGGGAACAAGUUCAGCACAUUCUGGGGUUGUCCAGUCUCCAAGACACAUAAUUAAAGAAAAGGGAGGAAGGUCCAUUCUGAAAUGUAUUCCCAUCUCUGAACAUACCAAUGUGGCCUGGUACCAACAGACUCAUGGGCAGGAACUAAAGUUCCUCAUCCAGCAUUAUGAAAAAUCUGAGAGAGAGAAAGGAAACCUGCCCAGCAGAUUCUCAGUCCAGCAGUUCGAUGACUAUCACUCUGAGAUGAACAUGAGUGCCUUGGAGCUGGAGGACUCUGCUGUGUACUUCUGA